rnacentral:rRNA from 1 species
UAGGGAAUCUUCCACAAUGGACGAAAGUCUGAUGGAGCAACGCCGCGUGAGUGAAGAAGGGUUUCGGCUCGUAAACUCUGUUGUUAAAGAAGAACACGUAUGAGAGUAACUGUUCAUACGUUGACGGUAUUUAACCAGAAAGUCACGGCUAACUACGUGCCAG